rnacentral:rRNA from 1 species
GACGAACGCUGGCGGCGUGCUUAACACAUGCAAGUCGAACGGAAAGGCCCUGCUUUUGUGGGGUGCUCGAGUGGCGAACGGGUGAGUAACACGUGAGUAACCUGCCCUUGACUUUGGGAUAACUUCAGGAAACUGGGGCUAAUACCGGAUAGGAGCUCCUGCUGCAUGGUGGGGGUUGGAAAGUUUCGGCGGUUGGGGAUGGACUCGCGGCUUAUCAGCUUGUUGGUGGGGUAGUGGCUUACCAAGGCUUUGACGGGUAGCCGGCCUGAGAGGGUGACCGGCCACAUGGGGACUGAGAUACGGCCCGGACUCCUACGGGAGGCAGCAGGGGGGAAUAUGGCACAAUGGGCGGAAGCCUGAUGCAGCAACGCCGGGUGCGGGAUGACGGCCUUCGGGUGGUAAACCGCUUUCGCCUGUGACGAAGCGUGAGUGACGGUAAUGGGUAAGAAGCACCGGCUAACUACGUG